rnacentral:rRNA from 1 species
GUGGGGAAUAUUGGACAAUGGGGGCAACCCUGAUCCAGCGAUGCCGCGUGAGUGAUGAAGGCCUUCGGGUUGUAAAGCUCUUUUGCACGCGACGAUGAUGACGGUAGCGUGAGAAUAAGCCCCGGCUAACUCUGUGCCAGCAGCCGCGGUAAUACAGAGGGGGCUAGCGUUGUUCGGAAUGACUGGGCGUAAAGGGCGCGUAGGUGGUAUGACAAGUCAGGUGUGAAAGACCCAGGCUUAACCUGGGAACGGCAUUUGAGACUGUCAUGCUUGAGUCUGGGAGAGGAUAGCGGAAUUCCUAGUGUAGAGGUGAAAUUCGUAGAUAUUAGGAAGAACACCGGUGGCGAAGGCGGCUAUCUGGAACAGAACUGACACUGAGGCGCGAAAGCGUGGGGAGCAAACAGGAUUAGAUACCCCUGUAGUCC